UACAGAGGGUGCAAGCGUUAAUCGGAGUUACUGGGCGUAAAGGGCGCGUAGGCGGUUAUUUAAGUUAGAUGUGAAAGCCCUGGGCUUAACCUAGGAACUGCAUCUAAUACUGGGUAACUGGAGUAUUGUAGAGGGUAGUGGAAUUUCCGGUGUAGCGGUGAAAUGCGUAGAGAUCGGAAGGAACACCAGUGGCGAAGGCGACUUACUGGACUGUAACUGACGCUGAGGCAUGAAAGCGUGGGGAGCAAACAGG
rnacentral:rRNA from 1 species